rnacentral:misc_RNA from 1 species
AACAUAUUGAACACAACCGCAAACUAGCAGCUUUUAAAGUCCAUAAGAAAAGAGAAGAAAGGUUUUGCAAGUUCUCCUCCUACAGCAGCGAACUACCGACAUAAUAUGAACUCUCAUAGCUUGCACACGAAUCCUAGAACUUGUUUAAUUCGGAACCAGGUCAUCCCAAGAAACAAAUUGAAGCUAAAAUCAAAUAUAUCAAACCAAACGCAACUUAGGAGAUUAUAAGAUAAAAAUUCCUAACUGAUUAGAAACCAUAAAAAAGCAAAAGAAACAUAUCCAAAGUCAAGUAAUUACACCAUCAGAGAGCCACCAGAAGACGAGAACA